CGUCAAUUACAUUGGGAAGAGAAUAAAGAGCUAACCUUACAUCGUAGCGAAAGAGUAUCGACUUUGGGACGUUUGUUAUCGCUAGCGUUACAUUAUUAAAAGUUUAGCUCUUGUAUUCAAUCAUGUUUCUUAUAACAGUAUUCCAUAAUGUAAGUAUAUUAAAUACACAGGAAAAAGGUUGAACGUGAACAAAGUUGGGCUACUCACACGACGAAAACUGUUGCCAGCAGCACCAGCCCUGUGUGAUACCUGGUUCAGUGCCCGAGAGUCUUCCAUGACUCUGCAGUAGAGUGGAGAACAUACUGCGACCAUGCCCCAAUGAUGUGCCUGUCUCUCUGGCCCUGGACACCUUACCGGCCCAGGCAGCAGAUCCCUUCCAUACACAUCUCUUCUCACUCUCAGAACCCAAGAGAGGACAGAUCAAGCCUUCCCUGUCUUACUGUGAGAAGGAGUGGGUUUAUGCGUUCCAUGUCCCCGUUUGAUGCCUCCAAAAGCAGCAUCUACUGAACCCACCAUCCCACAUGACCGAACACAGAAUAAACAGACCCUCAAGACACUAGAAAGAUUGGGCUUUGCCAGGAAUACCAGGCCAAAUGGCUGGUGGGCUGCUGGACAGAAGAGCUCAUUCCCCUCAACACAGACCGCCACGGUUCUGAUUAAGACCUGGGACAGCAGGAGGGGGUAAUGAUCAGGCAGGGAUGGAAGGCCAGCCACCCACUUCAGGUAGGGUUAGAGUGUUAAUCAGUGUGUGUAAACAGCAGAUUUGAUGGAUGCAGUGGGUUUUGGCGGUGUGUCAGAGGCCUCCCUGGCUGGCUGUUGCUGGGUUGAGUUUAUGAUGGCCAUAAACAUUGAUCGGCCCAGUGUUGGUGUAAUGGAGGACACCCUGGAGAUCUCUGGUCUGUAACUAACUACAGUCCUGUCUGCUACGGUAGUGUGGUUUCUGUCUUAAGCAUUUAAACACAAGGACACUUAAUAAACGGUUGGGUGUCUGUCUUCUCAUAACUGUUCCUCCUAGUCAGACUGGCCCAGGGUGGAAAUCGUUCUGUGGCAUUCGGCAGCUUUAUCUGAGCGUAGCUCCCAGGACCUGCUUCAGUCUGCAGGGAUGCCCAUGUAGGACCCAGUGAUGCCCAUGUAGGACCCAGUGAUGCCCAUGUAGGACCCAGUGAUGCCCAUGUAGGACCCAGUGAUGCCCAUGUAGGACCCAAUGAUGCCCAUGUAGGACCCAAUGAUGCCCAUGUAGGACCCAGUGAUGCCCGUGUAGGACCCAGUGAUGCCCAUAUAGGACCCAGUGAUGCCCAUAUAGGAC
ensembl:lncRNA